rnacentral:tRNA from 3 species
GCCACCGUAGCUCAGUAGGUAGAGCGGCUGACUUGUAAUCAGCAGGUCGGGGGUCCGAUUCCCUCCGGUGGCU